UAAAGCUAGGUUUGUGGUUGAAAGUCGAUGCUAGUCGCAGGCAAAACGAUCCACUUAAGUUAGAUAAAAUGUCUAAUGAGCAUGGUGCGGUAUAGAAGUGAGUCCUGCCAUUCAUGAAGAGUGAGAGGGUUAGUAGUGAGGAAUUAACUUUUAGUAGCAAAAGCUCCAGCAGGCGAGUGUGGGGGCAAAAACCAGGUCAACUAGCUUUA
rfam:Clostridium botulinum B str. Eklund 17B, complete genome.